rnacentral:rRNA from 1 species
CCUACGGGCGGCAGCAGUGAGGAAUAUUGGUCAAUGGACGAGAGUCUGAACCAGCCAAGUAGCGUGAAGGAUGACUGCCCUAUGGGUUGUAAACUUCUUUUAUAAAGGAAUAAAACGAGGCACGUGUGCCUUUUUGCAUGUGCUUUAUGAAUAAGGAUCGGCUAACUCCGUGCCAGCAGCCGCGGUAAUACGGAGGAUCCGAGCGUUAUCCGGAGUUAUUGGGUUUAAAGGGAGAGUAGAUGGGUUGUUAAGUCAGAUGUGAAAGUUUGCGGCUCAACCGUAAAAUUGCAAUUGAUACUGGCAGUCGUGAGUACAGUUGAGGUAGGCGGAAUUCGUGGUGUAGCGGUGAAAUGCUUAGAUAUCACGAAGAACCCCGAUUGCGAAGGCAGCUUACUAAACUGUGACUGACAUUGAUGCUCGAAAGUGUGGGUAUCAAACAGGAUUAGAUACCCCUGUAGUC